UGCUUUGUUUCUUUUGCACCUUUUUAUCUAUUCUGGAAAAACUUUUCCCUUAUUUAUCUGUUUACUUUUCUAAUAUCAGAUCAUUAUUAGAGAUCCUCCUUUGUUUUAUUUCACUUGUAUCAUACAUUUACCAUCCAUUACCAAUUCAAUUAUUGUAAGAAACAAAUAAAUUUAAGACAAGAACUUAGCUCUAUUUUUUUAUUCAAAUUUUCAGCAUGACAGCCUCUGUACGUACGUCAUUACUACUUGAGUUAUCCUGAAACAACACACAUGCACAAAAAAUAACAACAAGACCACCACACAAGCACAACACAACAAAUCUAAUAACAACAAAAAAACAAGAUCUAGAAGAAACAAAGAAAGAAUAAAAUAAACUCAUAAGAGACUAUAAAACACACACAACCCCCAAGUUAUACAUUCAAGAUAUUAUUCAUGUAAUUUACUUAUACACACAUAUCAUCCUGCAUAUCAGAAAAAUAACACAAAAACAAAAC
rnacentral:lncRNA from 1 species